ACUGAGCUACGGCCACUCCCUGUCGAUCCUUAUCAAACAAGUGUCUUAUCAUGAGCCUACAGGGCAAAACACACCAAGGAGGGACAUUAUAAUAUUUCAGAACAUUGCACAAAGGCUGAUUGAAACAGCAUUGACAGGGUGGAUCCUCCAAGCCACAAGCUGCCCAUAUGCAGCACUUUGACAUGUGGCUAGCACUCUGCUCUGCAGUUGGGCUCCAUUUUGUCCCGCAGCAGUCCUGGCAUGUGGCUUGUGGCUGCAGAGAAAAAUCCACUGGUGGUGGUGACCAGUUCAUGGCAACCGGUUGCCUUUUAAUUGCUCAGCAUAUGAGACCAGUACCCUCAUGAAUAAAUACAAAAAACCCCAAUGAAAAGCCACCAUCUUCACCAAGAACUCCUAAUGCCUCCUUAGAGAUGCCACUUCACACUUUGGAAAGCCAAGACCUCUCUAUACAUUCCAACCUCUUUCUGGAGAGUCCUCUACCCAAGAAGAAUGUCACAUUUCUCAAGGAGAAGGACACAAAACUGCACAGUGCAACAAGACUUCUGCUAUUUCUCCACACACGACACAACAGCAACUCUUCCUCCAUAUCCCGUAUUCUGCCCUAGUUGUUUAUGUUGCCCCUCUUGGAAUUAUUUAUACCCAAGAUUCCCACUAGUCUUGCCUACUGGCUUCACCAUCCAACUGUUGUUUUUCUCCCUUGUGUUGCUGGACUUGGAUCAAAGACAACUUGGACUGUUGGUUGCUAUGGAAGUUAUUAUGUCCUUGGUAUCUCACUUUCGCAUCACAAGGGCCAUAAAAAGCAGAAGAAUCUGGUUCAAGGAGAAGAUUAUAGAUCAUCUGCACAUUGACUGAAUUACAGCAGAAAAAAAGGAAUUGUGAUGAGACCACAUAAGCAUUCCUUUUAUGUUUCAAUCAAUUCACGGCAGUUUGGGGUUGGUGUCAUAUGUGCUUGCAUACAACAGGAAUCUGUAAGGAAACAAAGAAUACAGACCAAAAACUGCCACAAUAAUAUGUGGAUUCCAAAAUUUGUUUUAGAAAUGAUCCAGGGUAAAUCAGAAGGCAGGCAGAGCAAAACAUGGUGCAAAGUCAACCACAUGUAACAAUAAUGAAAUGGAAUGGGGGACAUCCACUCAUCCUGGCUUUACAAGGCUUAAAGAAUCCAGGGGUCACCUGUUCUCCUCUCACUGCUUCUCCAGCCCGCUUUGUACUUGCAGGUGUGCUGGAUGUUCAAAACAGAAAUGCACAGAUUGACUGAGUCAGAUACUCUAAAGUAAAGCACAACAAAAGUUCCACAACCCACCC